rnacentral:lncRNA from 1 species
GAAUGUUCUAGAAGCAGAAAGUAAUCUCUGCCCACCCCCACCCCAUUAUUUGGGACUGCAGCUAUCAUAAUCCUAUAGCAUUGGCGAAAGCUUCUGGUAGCUGAAAUCAAAGGACAACUAGAUAUAUUCCAGUAAAACUGAUUUCCUGUUCAAAAUAAUUGAGGAUGAGGCAAUAAUAGAAUUUGAUUUCUCUGAACUAACAGCUAGAACAUGGCUUCUAAUCUGAUGAUAAUUGCUAUCCUAGGCUGCAGGUAGCAUGCAUUUUGUGUGUGCUGCUGAAUCAAAGAAGGAGGGCUGCUCAUUGAAUUUUAAUGUGGAAAUUAAUUCUGAAAAAGAAAGCAAAGGCAGUGAGAACCGAUAGGCGGGUGGCCAGAUUCUAUUCUCACAUUUGUCACUAAUGUGACAGUCUGCAGUUCUGUUUGUUUCAUGGGGCCAAUCCAAACUCACCACGGUGUAACAGAGGUAAGGCUCUGACCUGCUUCUCUUCAAAACUCCAAAGCCGUAAGAAGUUGUAUAAUGAAACUCUAUCCACUUGUGCUGUGACUGCUGAGUGUUUCAAGAGCUCCUACAGCUCCCACAGGCCUCUAAUUGUCAAGACAUAUGUAACAAAGACAACUGGCUAAAAUAAGUAGUCGAAAGGAGAGUUAAUCAUCUGGAGAAUCAGUCAUGUUUUCUCUUCUGAAAAGCCUAGAACCAACGAGAGUUAAUUACUUUGGAGAGAAACUUUGGAAUCUGGUCUAAAAGAUGGAGUGGAUGCACAACCACAAUGACUUAGGUGCCACUAGUCUAUACUUGUGUGUAGGAAGACCCUUUGAAAUGUCUUCUUAGACCAUUCUUCAUUUGUGGAGACUGACUGUAUCCUACCCUCUCAAAAAUGACAGAAAACAAUUGGAUUCUUUCCUCCUCUUGGUAGCAAUAGGAAGCUCAGAAAUAUGGCAAAUUGACCACAGUAGGAGACCAUCAAUAUCUAUUACACUAGCCGCAUGUGUGCUUGAUAUGGA